GAGCGGUAGAGAGAAGCUUGCUUCUCUUGAGAGCGGCGGACGGGUGAGUAAUGCCUAGGAAUCUGCCUGGUAGUGGGGGAUAACGUUCGGAAACGGACGCUAAUACCGCAUACGUCCUACGGGAGAAAGCAGGGGACCUUCGGGCCUUGCGCUAUCAGAUGAGCCUAGGUCGGAUUAGCUAGUUGGUGGGAUAAUGGCUCACCAAGGCGACGAUCCGUAACUGGUCUGAGAGGAUGAUCAGUCACACUGGAACUGAGACACGGUCCAGACUCCUACGGGAGGCAGCAGUGGGGAAUAUUGGACAAUGGGCGAAAGCCUGAUCCAGCCAUGCCGCGUGUGUGAAGAAGGUCUUCGGAUUGUAAAGCACUUUAAGUUGGGAGGAAGGGUUGUAGAUUAAUACUCUGCAAUUUUGACGUUACCGACAGAAUAAGCACCGGCUAACUCUGUG
rnacentral:rRNA from 1 species